AAAAACUUAGUUAUAAAGAAUUAUAUCUAAUUUUGGUUUACAAGACCAAGGUUUUUA
rnacentral:tRNA from 1 species